AUUGAACGCUGGCGGCAGGCCUAACACAUGCAAGUCGAACGGUAGCACAGAGAGCUUGCUCUCGGGUGACGAGUGGCGGACGGGUGAGUAAUGUCUGGGAAACUGCCUGAUGGAGGGGGAUAACUACUGGAAACGGUAGCUAAUACCGCAUAACGUCGCAAGACCAAAGAGGGGGACCUUCGGGCCUCUUGCCAUCGGAUGUGCCCAGAUGGGAUUAGCUAGUAGGUGGGGUAAUGGCUCACCUAGGCGACGAUCCCUAGCUGGGCUGAGAGGAUGACCAGCCACACUGGAACUGAGACACGGUCCAGACUCCUACGGGAGGCAGCAGUGGGGAAUAUUGCACAAUGGGCGCAAGCCUGAUGCAGCCAUGCCGCGUGUAUGAAGAAGGCCUUCGGGUUGUAAAGUACUUUCAGCGGGGAGGAAGGGGUUGAGUUUAAUUCGCUCAAUCAUUGACGUUACCCGCAGAAGAAGCACCGGCUAACUCCGUGCCAGCCGCCGCCGUAACAC
rnacentral:rRNA from 1 species